rnacentral:lncRNA from 1 species
AAUGUGGAGAGCAAAGGACAGUCUGCACUUUGUCCCAGGCUCCCAGCUUGUGGCUUGUGGGAAAGGGAGACCCUGUCUCCAGAGACACAGGGAAAGCUGGGGAUUCUGAAAGCCUUCAGGGAGAAACAUGGCAGUGCUGCGGACCAGUGGAUCCUGUCAGCUCCAGGGAGAGCACAGGAUGUGGCUCCCAUAUGGGUCCUUCCACAGGCAACAGCUGCCUCUUUUCCAGACUAUCAGAAGAUGAUCAUCAAACAAUAAAACCCAUCUUUCUUUGUCUUCUUUAACCAGUCGGGAUGAGGCAUUUGAUCCCUGGCUAGGUAAGAUGAAUGCUCUUCCUCAGCCUAAAGCACUUUUUAAAAGGAUAAAAUAUUGAGUCUUCUGCAUCACCUUAACAAAAAAGAGACCAAAGUCUCAGAGUGGGAAUGAAAUAGGACAGAAAGAUAAAAAGGAGACAAGAAAAUCAUAACUAAAAAUUGUACUUUUGAUAAGAUUGCAA